UAGUCCACGCCGUAAACGAUGUCUACUAGCCGUUGGGGGACUUGAUCCUUUAGUGGCGCAGCUAACGCCUUAAGUAGACCGCCUGGGGAGUACGGCCGCAAGGCUAAAACUCAAAGAAAUUGACGGGGGCCCGCACAAGCGGUGGAGCAUGUGGUUUAAUUCGAUGCAACGCGAAGAACCUUACCUACCCUUGACAUCAUCAGAACUUGUUAGAGAUAACUCGGUGCCUUCGGGAACUGAUAGACAGGUGCUGCGUGGCUGUCGUCAGCUCGUGUCGUGAGAUGUUGGGUUAAGUCCCGUAACGAGCGCAACCCUUGUCCUUAGUUGCCAGCGCGUAAUGGCGGGGACUCUAGGGAGACUGCCGGUGACAAACCGGAGGAAGGUGGGGAUGACGUCAAGUCAUCAUGGCCCUUAUGGGUAGGGCUACACACGUGCUACAAUGGCCGGUACAGAGGGCAGCGAACUCGCGAGGGCAAGCAAAUCUCAGAAAACCGGUCGUAGUCCGGAUCGGAGUCUGC
rnacentral:rRNA from 1 species